GAGUUUGAUCUUGGCUCAGAACGAACGCUGGCGGCAUGCCUAACACAUGCAAGUCGAACGAGACCUUCGGGUCUAGUCGGCGCACGGGUGCGUAACGCGUGGGAAUCUGCCCUUGGGUUCGGAAGUAACAGUUAGAAAUAGGCUGCUAAUACCGGAUGAUGACUUCGGUCCAAAGAUUUAUCGCCCAGGGAUGAGCCCGCGUUCGGAUUAGCUUGUUGGUGAGGUAAAAAGCUCACCAAGGCGACCGAUCCGUAGCUGGUCUGAGAGGAUGAUCAGCCACACUGGGACUGAGACACGGCCCAGACUCCUAC
rnacentral:rRNA from 1 species